GACAGGCUACCUUCAUAAUUCCUUUUGAUGCUGUCCUUAAGAGCUGCACUAAUGGAUGAGGUCAAUCCUAAGGGCUUUUGCCCUUAAGAAGCACUUCACUUGACCUUCUGCGCCACUGCCAGUAGUUUUGGCAUUUUAGAGAAAGCAUGAAAAGUGACAGUAUAAUUCAAAAGCGGAACAGUGGAAUCAAGGAAGAAAGCACCUGAGAGGAUACCAGUUCUUGUCCUGGUUCUAGGAACCCGCUGUGUGACUUUGGUGGUUUGGAAAUUCUUCUCUUUGGAAGACCUUGCAGGUGCUUGAGAUGCUUUUCACUAUCUUGGCCCCUAUUUAUUCAGACAGACAUUUGUAAACUACUACCAGCAGACAAAGUGCUAACCCUUCUCUACCCAGCUGUGUGCCCUGGAAGGCUGGCCUGUGGACUGAUCACUGGACUUCCAGUUAAAAUUGGCCAGUUGGAUGCACCAGCAGAUCUGGCAGUCAGAUAAGAGUGAAACUGGGGUAUUUAUUCUCCUGACUCCCUUCCUGUGGGGACAAUGUGGACUGUCUGGAUCCUAAUACUGCUUCCAGGAUCUAUGUAGAAAGAAGUACAUUGCUGUGUGUUUGUAGCUCCGCCCAUCAUUUGAGGUAUAUUGGCAGAUCAGAAGGAAUCCAAGCAAGAUAUGUAUGUCACAUUGUCGCUGAUUUACAGCAUUGCCCUUCCUGGAGGUGUUCUCGUCUCACACAAAGAAUGGCAUUAUUUCAGAUCAGAGACAGAUCUUCUGUGGUGCUAGUGAAACACAAGCUUCAUCCAGGGUCCUUCACUUGCGUGGAUCCCCAAGACAGCUGAGUGUUGCUGAGGGCGGUGAAGCAUCUAUGGGCAGGGGAGCCAGACUGCAACCAGAAAGCACUUCCAUAGGUAGUGCAUGGGUCCAUGACAUGGAAUGCUCUGUGGGCUUGGUUCCCUUCUUCAGUGCACAACCGCACAACUACAUGUGGCAACCUGAGGUCCAUCUAAGGAUUUAGAAAAAGCAGGUGAGAAACCCAAGGCCUAGCGAUGUUAAGGAACUUGCCAAAUAUUGGAGUCAGUAAGAGGUAAACCUGGGGUCUGAACUCAGACGGCGUAGUUCCAGAAAGUAUCUUCCUAACUGCUACAAAAAAGGAGUCGCCAACAUUAAAAAAAAAAAAAAGUCAAGCAAUUUCACGGAAUCAUGGGAUUCAUUCCCUCUCUUGAACAACUGUAACAUACGGUCCAGCAUGAGCCAGGAGGGGCUUGUCCCCAUUUUCUCCGUUCUGCCGCAAAGUUUCCCCUGCUAGCAUCAAAGUGAGCAGCAUGGCUGAGCCAGUCACAUGUAUGAAUCCCGAAGAACUGUCUCGGUGUCCUUCAUGCCAGCCAGACCUGUCUGCAGCUGCUUGAGCCUGGCCUACACUCCUGCUGAACCCCUUUCCUUCUGCUGUAGCUCACACACACCCUUAUCAUGGCCUCCUCCUCCAAUCCCAUCUGCUCUCCCUAGAGACACUCUCAUGUUCCACUUCCUCCACUCAGCCUUCCUUGAUUCUCCUAACUGAAGAACCUCUUCUUUCUACUUUCUGAAAUGACCACGUAAGACACACGUAGAUGGUGAUGAUAACUAUAGGAGCUGUACAGCUACGCUAACAUCUGACGAUGGUCUGUUCUGCUCCUCAGCAUUGUAUAUGCUCUUGACCCACAUUAUCUCAUUUAAUCCUUAUGGAGCUUCUUUGAGAUACAGACUUUCAUUUUUAUUGCUGAGUAAGCCACCUUAGUAAAUUACAUAAAUUGUUCAAAAUCUCA